GAUGAACGCUAGCGACAGGCUUAACACAUGCAAGUCGAGGGGCAGCAUAAAAGUAGCAAUACUUUGGUGGCGACCGGCGCACGGGUGAGUAACGCGUAUGCAACCUACCUAUCAGAGGGGAAUAACCCGGCGAAAGUCGGACUAAUACCGCAUAAAACAGGGGCACCGCAUGGUGAUAUUUGUUAAAGAAAUUCGCUGAUAGAUGGGCAUGCGUUCCAUUAGGUAGUUGGUGAGGUAACGGCUCACCAAGCCGACGAUGGAUAGGGGAACUGAGGGGUUGGUCCCCCACACUGGUACUGAGACACGGACCAGACUCCUACGGGAGGCAGCAGUGAGGAAUAUUGGUCAAUGGGCGAGAGCCUGAACCAGCCAAGUCGCGUGAAGGAAGAAGGAUCUAUGGUUCGUAAACUUCUUUUGCAGGGGAAUAAAGUGCAGGACGUGUCCUGUUUUGUAUGUACCCUGAGAAUAAGGAUCGGCUAACUCCGUGCCAGCCGCCGCGGUAA
rnacentral:rRNA from 1 species